UACGAAGGGUGCAAGCGUUACUCGGAAUUACUGGGCGUAAAGCGUGCGUAGGUGGUUUUUUAAGUCCGUUGUGGAAGCCCUGGGCUCAACCUGGGAAUGGCAGUGGAUACUGGAAAGCUAGAGUGCGGUAGAGGGUAGUGGAAUUCCCGGUGUAGCAGUGAAAUGCGUAGAGAUCGGGAGGAACACCAGUGGCGAAGGCGGCUACCUGGACCAGCACUGACACUGAGGCACGAAAGCGUGGGGAGCAAACAGG
rnacentral:rRNA from 1 species